UGGAAACAACAAAUGAAACCAAGAUAUAUCUCAAUCUGAUGAGUAUCGUGCAUGUAGUUUACCUGUAUAGAGAAGAAGUAACAGUUUUAGCAGUCAACUUACCUUGUGGUUGUAUAUAAUUAGAAUUUUUUGUUGUGAAUCUUGUGAUCCUUCCUAAGUUAUCAGUAUAAUUGUGGAUAAGAAUCAAGCUUUCUAUACCUUCAUAAUCACUGCUCCAUUUGAUACCUUGUGUGUUCUUUUGUUCUGCAUAUGAAAGUGGGAGAUGCUCUAAGUUCUGCUAUAAGGAAGCAGUGAUGGAUUGCUUAUAUGCAAAAUAGCUGGAGAAGUUAUGCCAGAACUGAAGAACUGAGUUGCUUUGAGGUUCUAAAGAAUAACUCUAAUGGUGCCGAAACUGGUUCGUUACUGCAUUUGAUGAAGGAAGCAACUUCGGAUGCACAACUUAGAGUUCUCGAGUCUCUCUG